rnacentral:tRNA from 11 species
GCGCGAUUAGCUCAGCGGGAGAGCGCUUCCCUGACACGGAAGAGGUCACUGGUUCAAUCCCAGUAUCGCGCACAA